rnacentral:tRNA from 1 species
GGUUCUAUAGUGUAGCGGUUAGCACGUCUGCUUUCCACGCGGUAGUUCCUGGGUUCGCACCCCUGUGGAGUCA